GACGAACGCUGUCGGCGUGCUUAACACAUGCAAGUCGAACGGAAAGGCCCUGCUUUUGUGGGGUGCUCGAGUGGCGAACGGGUGAGUAACACGUGAGUAACCUGCCCUUGACUUUGGGAUAACUUCAGGAAACUGGGGCUAAUACCGGAUAGGAGCUCCUGCUGCAUGGUGGGGGUUGGAAAGUUUCGGCGGUUGGGGAUGGACUCGCGGCUUAUCAGCUUGUUGGUGGGGUAGUGGCUUACCAAGGCUUUGACGGGUAGCCGGCCUGAGAGGGUGACCGGCCACAUUGGGACUGAGAUACGGCCCAGACUCCUACGGGAGGCAGCAGUGGGGAAUAUUGCACAAUGGGCGGAAGCCUGAUGCAGCAACGCCGCGUGCGGGAUGACGGCCUUCGGGUUGUAAACCGCUUUCGCCUGUGACGAAGCGUGAGUGACGGUAAUGGGUAAAGAAGCACCGGCUAACUACGUGCCAGCAGCCGCGGUGAUACGUAGGGUGCGAGCGUUGUCCGGAUUUAUUGGGCGUAAAGGGCUCGUAGGUGGUUGAUCGCGUCGGAAGUGUAAUCUUGGGGCUUAACCCUGAGCGUGCUUUCGAUACGGGUUGACUUGAGGAAGGUAGGGGAGAAUGGAAUUCCUGGUGGAGCGGUGGAAUGCGCAGAUAUCAGGAGGAACACCAGUGGCGAAGGCGGUUCUCUGGGCCUUUCCUGACGCUGAGGAGCGAAAGCGUGGGGAGCGAACAGGCUUAGAUACCCUGGUAGUCCACGCUGUAAACGGUGGGUACUAGGUGUGGGGUCCAUUCCACGGGUUCCGUGCCGUAGCUAACGCUUUAAGUACCCCGCCUGGGGAGUACGGCCGCAAGGCUAAAACUCAAAGGAAUUGACGGGGCCCCGCACAAGCGGCGGAGCAUGCGGAUUAAUUCGAUGCAACGCGUAGAACCUUACCUGGGUUUGACAUGGAUCGGGAGUGCUCAGAGAUGGGUGUGCCUCUUUUGGGGUCGGUUCACAGGUGGUGCAUGGCUGUCGUCAGCUCGUGUCGUGAGAUGUUGGGUUAAGUCCCGCAACGAGCGCAACCCUUGUUCACUGUUGCCAGCACGUUAUGGUGGGGACUCAGUGGAGACCGCCGGGGUCAACUCGGAGGAAGGUGGGGAUGACGUCAAGUCAUCAUGCCCCUUAUGUCCAGGGCUUCACGCAUGCUACAAUGGCUGGUACAGAGAGUGGCGAGCCUGUGAGGGUGAGCGAAUCUCGGAAAGCCGGUCUCAGUUCGGAUUGGGGUCUGCAACUCGACCUCAUGAAGUCGGAGUCGCUAGUAAUCGCAGAUCAGCAACGCUGCGGUGAAUACGUCCCCGGG
rnacentral:rRNA from 1 species